AGAGAUUGAUGUUGUGAAUAUUUGAUCCACAAGUGGCGCGCUUACAUUCUCCAAAUGUAGAGAAUCAUCCAGAGAUGGAAAAUGAGGAAUCCAAGUCAAAAUAGGGCAAUCAUAACAGCGGAACUGGGAAAGACAUGGAAAUUGGAGUAGAUCAGUUGUUGAAUCAUCUCUUGUCUUCCGCCAUCCUUUUAGCUUAGGGCAUUGCUGUAGCUCGAGAGACUUGAGGGAUGGAAAGAAUGUAGUUCUUUCUACCUCAAUUUCCACAUACUCUAAAUUCCUGAAAUCCCGAAUCACCAAGCUUAGAAGAGAAGGGAUUUGAUGGAUUGGUGGGAGAUGCUGACAUUUGCU
rnacentral:misc_RNA from 1 species